GGUGGGGUUCCCGAGCGGCCAAAGGGAGCAGACUGUAAAUCUGCCGUCAUCGACAGCGAAGGUUCGAAUCCUUCCCCCACCACCA
rnacentral:tRNA from 1 species